GGUCAGGAGGUCUUCUCAUGCCAUUCCUAGUCAAUAUCAAACCGGAAGACCUAACCAGUACGACAAGGAAAGAACGAGAAAUACAGAGUAGAAAGAGUUUAUAAUUAACAUCUUGUGAAGUUCACUGGAAGACGAGGAGACUGGCUCUGCUACGUCUGGGAAUGGCGAGGCAUCCAAAUGCUGAUCACCGCAUGCAAUUAAGUAGAGAGAAUGGCUGAAGAUCUUCAGGAUGUCCUUGGACAUUUGGAACACUGAGUAUUUUCGGUCAAUUCUAUUUAGAGAAAAUCGGAUGCUUAAUGACUGUGGUUUAGAGGUCCACAAUAAGACUAAUGGACUGAAAACCCAAGAGAAGUGCUCAUGGCAGGAAGAGCAUCAAGAGGAUAUAAAGUUAUGGAAAAUAAAUGAUGAUCCAUGUUACCACCAAUAGGCUCUCGUAUGAACCCAACCACCUGUGCAAGGUCAUUACUGCAACAGAGAACCAAGUCUGCUCCAGAGAGAAGAAGUGAGAGAGUGAAUACACACCUUGGAAGUGUCAGUGAUUAAUGCUGUCAACUGCACUGUGUCCCCUGAAGAGCCAAGGUGCGUAGGUCCGCCUGCCCUGUCUUCUGUGUCUCCCGUCGUGAACAGUUGGACGAUCCCAGGGAGAAGCGGUGUCUCCUAGUCUGUUGAAGCAAUCAGUGAAGUGAAUGAGUAAUGAGUGAGAGCACAUUAGUGCCAUUGGUGGUUAAUAAACUCAAUCGUCUUUGCUGCGUGCCCCUGAUUUCCACAGCUUGCUAAAUAAAAGUUUAUUUAUGGUC